AUUGAACUCUGGCGGCAGGCCUAACACAUGCAAGUCGAGCGGUAGCACAGAGAGCUUGCUCUCGGGUGACGAGCGGCGGACGGGUGAGUAAUGUCUGGGAAACUGCCUGAUGGAGGGGGAUAACUACUGGAAACGGUAGCUAAUACCGCAUAACGUCGCAAGACCAAAGUGGGGGACCUUCGGGCCUCAUGCCAUCAGAUGUGCCCAGAUGGGAUUAGCUAGUAGGUGGGGUAACGGCUCACCUAGGCGACGAUCCCUAGCUGGUCUGAGAGGAUGACCAGCCACACUGGAACUGAGACACGGUCCAGACUCCUACGGGAGGCAGCAGUGGGGAAUAUUGCACAAUGGGCGCAAGCCUGAUGCAGCCAUGCCGCGUGUGUGAAGAAGGCCUUCGGGUUGUAAAGCACUUUCAGCGGGGAGGAAGGCGGUGAGGUUAAUAACCUCAUCGAUUGACGUUACCCGCAGAAGAAGCACCGGCUAACUCCGUGCCAGCAGCCGCGGUAAUACGGAGGGUGCAAGCGUUAAUCGGAAUUACUGGGCGUAAAGCGCACGCAGGCGGUCUGUCAAGUCGGAUGUGAAAUCCCCGGGCUCAACCUGGGAACUGCAUUCGAAACUGGCAGGCUAGAGUCUUGUAGAGGGGGGUAGAAUUCCAGGUGUAGCGGUGAAAUGCGUAGAGAUCUGGAGGAAUACCGGUGGCGAAGGCGGCCCCCUGGACAAAGACUGACGCUCAGGUGCGAAAGCGUGGGGAGCAAACAGGAUUAGAUACCCUGGUAGUCCACGCUGUAAACGAUGUCGAUUUGGAGGUUGUGCCCUUGAGGCGUGGCUUCCGGAGCUAACGCGUUAAAUCGACCGCCUGGGGAGUACGGCCGCAAGGUUAAAACUCAAAUGAAUUGACGGGGGCCCGCACAAGCGGUGGAGCAUGUGGUUUAAUUCGAUGCAACGCGAAGAACCUUACCUGGUCUUGACAUCCACAGAACUUUCCAGAGAUGGAUUGGUGCCUUCGGGAACUGUGAGACAGGUGCUGCAUGGCUGUCGUCAGCUCGUGUUGUGAAAUGUUGGGUUAAGUCCCGCAACGAGCGCAACCCUUAUCCUUUGUUGCCAGCGGUCCGGCCGGGAACUCAAAGGAGACUGCCAGUGAUAAACUGGAGGAAGGUGGGGAUGACGUCAAGUCAUCAUGGCCCUUACGACCAGGGCUACACACGUGCUACAAUGGCAUAUACAAAGAGAAGCGACCUCGCGAGAGCAAGCGGACCUCAUAAAGUAUGUCGUAGUCCGGAUUGGAGUCUGCAACUCGACUCCAUGAAGUCGGAAUCGCUAGUAAUCGUAGAUCAGAAUGCUACGGUGAAUACGUUCCCGGGCCU
rnacentral:rRNA from 1 species